AAAAUUAAUAACGACGCGUGACGCAACGCAAUGAACCCAUGCAAAAUUCUUUUAAAGCAAUUCUUUUGGAUGGGUUUGUCUCCAGGUUUGUCGCGUCGCGACAUUCUUCGUGUUUACUCUGUGCCUUUUACUGCGCACCACCAGCUGCCGCUCUCAUCCUCAACUCUCAUUGAACAACAACAACAGCUUUUGAGGUUUUUGCAACCGCGAAUAUUUGUUUUGGUUUCGUCCGUCGUUUAAUUUUAUUAAAUACAGCUACGGAAAAGUGGUGCCUUGAAAUGGAAUGCCACGGUCCUGGUCCUGUCCAUCACACGAAACCGGAAGAUAAUUUGCAUGUUCCGGUGGUCACUACAGACGACAAACAAGAGCGCGGUGUCUACGAUAUUGAUAUGCGCUUAAAACAAGUUGGCGUACUUCCAACAAGUGAUUGGAUUAUGUAUUUUGAUAAGGCAAUCGCCUUGACGUGACGACUGACAUAUUAUUAGGACCAGCCACAGAAUAAUUUAAUUGAAUAAUGAGCUCAAAAGGAAAAACUAUUCAUUUCAAAUCAUUUUACUUUGAAAGAAAAGGGUUGAAUGAAGAGUAUACAGGGAUAGGGGACUGCUUUCUGGGGAAAAAAAUAAUUUCCAAAUAAAAAUAUUCUACUUCGUUUCACCAGUUUUUCCGUUAUUGAGAUUGACAGCUCUACAAUUUUGUUUUAAAUGCUCGUACUUUUAAUUUCAGAGUGAUAUACAGCUUUUCAAACCAUCGUUG